GGGUGAUUAGCUCAGUUGGUUAGAGUGCUACGUUGACAUCGUAGAGGUCACUAGUUCAAAUCUAGUAUCACCCACCA
rnacentral:tRNA from 1 species